rnacentral:rRNA from 1 species
UAGAGGUCCCGCCUGCCCUGUGACUAUAUGUUUAACGGCCGCGGUAUUUUGACCGUGCGAAGGUAGCGCAAUCACUUGUCUUUUAAAUGAAGACCUGUAUGAAUGGCAUCACGAGGGCUUAGCUGUCUCCCUCUCCCAGUCAAUGAAAUUGAUCUCCCCGUGCAGAAGCGGGGAUAAGAACAUAAGACGAGAAGACCCUAUGGAGCUUAAGACACCAGGCCAGCUCACGUUAAACACCCCCCUACAAGGGGGAUAAACCGAGUGAACCCUGUUCUAGUGUCUUUGGUUGGGGCGACCGCGGGGAAAAAUUUAACCCCCAUGUGGAACAGGAACACUAUGUUCCUUAAUCCGAGAGCUUCCGCUCUAAUAAACAGAACUUCUGACCAACAAGAUCCGGCAACGCCGAUCAACGGACCGAGUUACCCUAGGGAUAACAGCGCAAUCCUCUUAAAGAGCCCUUAUCGACAAGGGGGUUUACGACCUCGAUGUUGGAUCAGGACAUCCUAAUGGUGCAGCCGCUAUUAAGGGUUCGUUUGUUCAACGAUUAAAGUCCUACGUGAU